UGGGGAAUAUUGCGCAAUGGGGGCAACCCUGACGCAGCCAUGCCGCGUGAAUGAAGAAGGCCUUCGGGUUGUAAAGUUCUUUCGGUGACGAGGAAGGCGUGAUGUUUAAUAGGCAUCACGAUUGACGUUAAUCACAGAAGAAGCACCGGCUAACUCCGUGCCAGCAGCCGCGGUAAUACGGAGGGUGCGAGCGUUAAUCGGAAUAACUGGGCGUAAAGGGCACGCAGGCGGUGACUUAAGUGAGAUGUGAAAGCCCCGAGCUUAACUUGGGAAUUGCAUUUCAUACUGGGUCGCUAGAGUACUUUAGGGAGGGGUAGAAUUCCACGUGUAGCGGUGAAAUGCGUAGAGAUGUGGAGGAAUACCGAAGGCGAAGGCAGCCCCUUGGGAAUGUACUGACGCUCAUGUGCGAAAGCGUGGGGAGCAAACAGGAUUAGAUACCCUGGUAGUCCACGCUGUAAACGAUGUCGAUUUGGGGAUUGGGCUUUGAGCUUGGUGCCCGUAGCUAACGUGAUAAAUCGACCGCCUGGGGAGUACGGCCGCAAGGUUA
rnacentral:rRNA from 1 species